rnacentral:rRNA from 1 species
AACGUAGGACGCAAGCGUUAUCCGGAGUUACUGGGCGUAAAGCGUGCGCAGGCGGUUCGUUAUGUCCGUUGUGAAAGCCCCGGGCUCAACCUGGGAAUGGCAAUGGAAACUGGCGGGCUAGAGUGUGGCAGAGGGGGGUGGAAUUCCGCGUGUAGCAGUGAAAUGCGUAGAGAUGCGGAGGAACACCGAUGGCGAAGGCAGCCCCCUGGGCUAGCACUGACGCUCAGGCACGAAAGCGUGGGGAGCAAACAGG